AUUGAACGCUGGCGGCAGGCCUAACACAUGCAAGUCGAACGAGUGGCAGACGGGUGAGUCAUGUCUGGGAAACUGCCCGAUGGAGGGGGAUCACUACUGAAAACUGUCGCUAAUACCGCAUACCAUCAGAUGUGCCCCGAUGGGUUUAGCUAGUAGGUGGGGUAACCGCUCACCAAGGCGCCGACCCCUAUCUGGUCUGAGAGGGUGACCAGCCAAACUGGAACUGAGACACGGUACAGACUCCUACGGGAGGCAGCAGUGGGGAAGAUUGCACAAUGGGCGCAAGCCUGAUGCAGCCAUGCCGCGUGUAUGAAGAAGGCCUUCGGGUUGUAAAGUACUUUCAGCGAGGAGGCGUUACCCGCAGAAGAAGCACCGGCUAACGCCGUGCCAGCAGCCGCGGUAAUUC
rnacentral:rRNA from 1 species